UAUGGAGCUUUAAUUAAUUAGCCCAAACUUAUGAACUUUAAACCCCACUGGGAAUAACAUACUACCAUUGUUAUGGGCUAACAAUUUAGGUUGGGGUGACCUCGGAAUAUAAAAAAACUCCCGAGUGAUUAAAAUUUAGACCUACCAGUCAAAAUGUACCAUCACUUAUUGAUCCAAUAAUCUUUGAUCAACGAAACAAGUUACCCUA
rnacentral:rRNA from 1 species